CUUACGGCUACGUCGCGUUUUAUCAACAUGGUCGUAGCUAAGACGUCGUAGAUUAACGUCGUAACUUUAAGGCUGCUUCAGACCAGUCGUAGGUAGGCUAAAGAUCUUAAAAAUGGCGGCCAUUUUUGCAUAAUUCCCGAUAGGAACUUUCAACACAAAUAUUUGAACAAUUGACGUUUUCAACUAACGUAGGUUUUCCGCGUACAUGUUUAUGUACAGUGCUGAUCCUAUUUUAACAUCCCAGGGACGCAACUAUCACUUCCAGUUUAAUCUCUGGAUAAUUUCCACGAAGAAGCUAUGACCUUUCAAUGAUGUUGCUACAGUAUCUAGGUGAAAGACAUGUAUUAAUAAUGUGAAAUCAACAUGGCAACAUUAUGUUAACCUACAGUACAGUGCUGUUAUGGGAAUGCAAAUGAAACUGGAGCACUGUUGUUUGGUAAAGCAUGUAAGUGAAUGCGAAAUUAGCAUCUUAUAUCCAAUUUGGUGUAUCACAUGAAAAGAGGAUUGUAAACAAAGGACAAGUAACUUGUGCAGACAGAUAUAAGGCAGCAUGAAUAGUUAGAACUUGGUGCAUCUGCUGAUCAAUGUGUUUGUAAAAGAGGUCAUUAACAAUGAUGAGGCUGUAUAUCACCAGGGUCAGUAGUGACAAACUUAUUUUAGAAACAGUA